AUUGAACGCUGGCGGCAUGCCUUACACAUGCAAGUCGAACGGCAGCACGGGUGCUUGCACCUGGUGGCGAGUGGCGGACGGGUGAGUAAUAUAUCGGAACGUACCUUAUCGUGGGGGAUAACGCAGCGAAAGCUGUGCUAAUACCGCAUAAGCCCUAAGGGGGAAAGCAGGGGACCGUAAGGCCUUGCGCGAUUAGAGCGGCCGAUACCUGAUUAGCUAGUUGGUGAGGUAAAGGCUCACCAAGGCAACGAUCAGUAGCUGGUCUGAGAGGACGAGCAGCCACACUGGGACUGAGACACGGCCCAGACUCCUACGGGAGGAAGCAGUGGGGAAUUUUGGACAAUGGGGGCAACCCUGAUCCAGCAAUGCCGCGUGAGUGAAGAAGGCCUUCGGGUUGUAAAGCUCUUUUGUCAGGGAAGAAACAGCAGCUCUAAUACAGUAUGCGAAUGACGGUACCUGAAGAAUAAGCACCGGCUAACUACGUGCCAGCCGCCGCCGUAA
rnacentral:rRNA from 1 species